CUGAAGGAACUCAAUAUAAUCUGCUAAAGAAACCAUCCGACUAUUCAAAGCAUUGGUUCCCAUGUCGCUACGAGAUGUCUGCUUACAUGCUUUAUACUGAAGUAACUCAAUAUAAUCUGCUAAAGAAACCAGCCGACUAUUCAAAGCAUCGAUUUCCAUGUCGCUACAAUUUGUAGUAAUAGGGUUAAUUUGAAAUAGUGGAAAUAAGUAACUCUUGUGAGAAAACUGAAGAAAUAGCUUGAAAAACACUGUUUACAACAGCAAAAAGCAGAACACUGUUCUGCGCCGGAAACACUGUAGCUGACGGAAAUAUUCAAAGUGGUCGGAAUGAAACAAAACCAGUGAGGGUAGGAUCGGAAUUACCAGGCGAUCCUACUGUUCAACUGGAACUUUUCAAAAUCUGGCCGGAAAAGUACUCACGCGCCGGCGCGUGGGUCAGAUCUCGCCGGAUUUUUUUUUCUUUUCCAGGCGCGUGAGGGCUUGUGGACGUGUGUUUUCCGGUGGGGUUGACUGGAGUUUGGUCGCCGGAGCCUGAGGAGUCUUGUGGUGGUGUUGGUUUUUACACAACACCAACAGAAAGUGAUUUGCUUACGGACAGCCUUCUAAGUCGCCGGAAAAUUGCACGGCGAAGAGGUCUUUCUUCCCGGAAGUCGCUGGAAUGAUGCACAACAACGAGUUUCUCACUAAUGCUCUGAUACUAUGUGAGAAAGCACGAGAGAAAAUAUGUUGUUGAUAUUGGAUGAUAAAUACAAUUCAAGAGGUCCCUAUUUAUAGCUAUACACUACAAGGAGAUAUUACUCUUCUUCCAAUGUGGGACAAGACUACACUAUACAUAUCUGUAAACUAACAAAAGUAAAGAUGAGUACUAGUUAAGCAUUAUUUUUUUUCAAACCAAGUACGUAAAUAGUAUCUGCUAAACUAUGUACUUGAUCUUGAUAAAUUUCAGGAUUUUGUACAAACGUGAUGAUAGUAAGAAAAUAGCAUAUUUGGUGUCAUUGUUGCAUUGUCCUAUGCAAUAUGUGACAAGUUUCAAUGGCUACAUUAUUAAUAGAUAUAAGUUUCACGUGCAAGAAUAUGAUAAAAGUUUGAUAACUGAGAAUUUUGGGAUGGUUAUAGUUGGUGAGACUGAUGAAAAGAACAAAAUAUUGAUUACUAUGGAUAAUUAACUGAGAUUUUUCAAUUACGAUUUUUUGGGAGAAGAAGAAUGAUUUUGUUUCGAUGUGUGUAGUUUGACGUGUUUGACCCAAAAAAGGGUGUUAAAAUAAAUGAAUAUGGCUUUGUAACUGUUAAUCGCCAGUGAUUUCCUGAGAUGUUUUGAAGGAAGAAGUAGUUCUAUCCAGAAAAUUAAGAUGAACUGCCUUUUUACUUUUCGUUUUUUGUGUAAAGAAGAACUCUUACAAGGUGCAGUUUCCCUAUUAGACAUUAUUGCAUCCUUGUAAGAAGAACAAGGAUGUAAACUUUUGCUUGUUUUGAACUUGUAAAUAUGGCUUCCAGCAUAGCCUUAAUGCUGAAGAUUUGUAAUACUGUUACCUUUCUAAAAAAAAAGCCUUUUGUAUAAUAUAAGUAUUUUAUAUUAACGAUCCUUCCAAUAGAGGCUGGAAUGUUGUACGAAAGGUUCAACCUUGUGAUUCUGUUGACGUUGUGCAGAAAAUGGAUGAUGAUUUGGAGGUAGAUAAUUCUUCGCAAAUGAAAAGAAAAAGAACUCAUGAAGCUGUAGGAAAGGGUACGUUAUCAAAAGCGAAAAGCGCAGAAUAGCAAUAAGGUUCAUGGAGCUUGAAGCAAAAGGAGAGAAGUGAAGCACACGAAGUGAAGGCAAAUUAUAAGGGAAACUAAAAGUAUCAAUCAAUGAAUUUAUUAUAUUGCAAUAAAAAUAACUAAUUUUAGCAUCCAAUAUAAAAUAAUGCCGUCAUUAAUCCAACUCCUCGAAGUUGAGAUUAGAAGAAGCGACCGAUUCUCCUAGGCCCUUUCUGCUCCAUUGUUUGAAGCGCAAACUUCUCUAAAGCCCAUGGCUUCACCUAUGAAGCGAUAACCACUUGCUUUGUAUCUCCAGCGCUUUAAACGACGAAGCGAUGACUUUUAAUUGGGAAAGGGAAAGGUUUCUUUUAAAUACUCCUUUUCAACUUCAAAUUCAAAUACUCUUUUUUCAGCUUCAACAAAAUAUUAUCCAAAUGCCUACUAAAACUCAUCAAUGGAUUGCUUCUCGAUACGUGGAGAUUUUAGCCACUUGUCACUGUCUAUACUCUUGCUUUUGAGUCCAAAAGUAACCAUUUGAUACCAUAUUGUAAUGGCAUUUGUCUGAUUUCAGGUAGUGAAGCAGCUUAGUUGAAGAGAAGAUGAAAAGGUCAAAACGGAGCUAAAAAGUAGUACAAAUCUUUCCAUUUUUCAAGUCGAUAUAUUUGCCAGGUUACCAACCUAAACCGGAAGUCUGUGAAAAUGACCCAUUGCGGGUGCAAUGGACUGAGUGCAGGCAGCAAUCAGAGUGCAAGAACAACUGAAACAUUAUCCCUGAAGCAAGACCAAGUGUGGACUGCAAUGGAAUUGUUCGGCCGCAGUGGUAGCCGCAAUAUACUCCGCACUGCUGCAGCUUGGAAGGAUCAGAGAAUUGUCAAUUACUGAAGUGUUGGAAGCCAGUGAAGUGAGGCCGGAACACCUGAAGUGCGGACUGCAAUGGACAAGUGCGGGCCGCAAUCUCUGAAGAGCAGCCCCAAUGCACACUUGCAAUUGAAGACCACUUAAGACAGCCAGAUGCAGUGCGGACUGCAAUGCUCAAGUGCGGCCACACUGCAUCCUUAAGGGCAUUUUCGGCACAGAUUUCCAGGACACUAUAAAUAGUAUAUUUAGGUCUUUUUACAGCUUGUUUGGAUGGUUGUUACCUGUCGUAUUGUUACUUAAAUACAAUGUUUGUUUUGAUUGUUACUUAAAUUUUAUUAUAUCAUAUCGUUAAAUCCGUCGUUACGUAAUAACGAAAAAUGCUUCUUUAUGUAACGAUGGAUUUGGUGUGAUGACGUCGUCACCUUGGUUUUUUUGUCUCAUCUUGCCCUUCCUUA